UUAGGAAUCUUGCGCAAUGGGCGAAAGCCUGACGCAGCGAUGCCGCGUGCGGGAUGAAGGCCCUCGGGUCGUAAACCGCUUUCAGCAGGGACGAUAGUGACGGUACCUGCAGAAGAAGCCCCGGCCAACUACGUGCCAGCAGCCGCGGUAAUACGUAGGGGGCGAGCGUUGUCCGGAUUUAUUGGGCGUAAAGAGCUCGUAGGCGGUUUGGUAAGUCGGGUGUGAAAUCUCCACGCUCAACGUGGAGGGGCCACUCGAUACUGCCAUGACUCGAGUCCGGUAGAGGAGUGUGGAAUUCCCGGUGUAGCGGUGAAAUGCGCAGAUAUCGGGAGGAACACCCGUAGCGAAGGCGGCACUCUGGGCCGGAACUGACGCUGAGGAGCGAAAGCCGUGGGGAGCAAACAGGAUUAGAUACC
rnacentral:rRNA from 1 species